AGCCCUCUCAUAAAGUUAACUAGGAACAACGACUCAUUGAGCUAACUAUGCUGUUCAAUUAAACUGCAGAUAAAAAAUGAGGAAUCAAGUUCAUCCUCUCUCGCUAAUGCUCGACUCAUUGCUCUCCACCAUCCUCAACCAAACCUUAACCUUAGCUUGUAACUGUGAACACAAAACCCUCUUUUGCCGACUAUUCUUCACCACCAAUGAACCCACCAUUUACCACUAUCUCUACCAUAUUUUGAACCUUUUAAUCCCCCACAUGAACUGGCUUUUCAUCAUCUACGCCGCUAUUUUAGUACAGCCUUGGAUGAAAUCUUUCUGUACCCCCAAAUCCUUUGCAACGAUUAGUCUAUUUCUUCGGCUUGGUCUUUCAUGGUUACUGAUAAUAAGUUUUGGGAACCUGAGUCAGUGAUUAUGAAUGGAAGUAUAAUAAAUGUUGAUCUUCAAUGCAUGUCAUUAGCCGACGUUGAAGAGCUGUUGCGGGUGAUUAAUGAAUCAGAGCACCCUAUUCUGCAAGUUCUUAACUUCAAAUCAAUUGGUUCCUUAGCCGAAAUCUGUAAUGGAAGACGAAACCAUGAUGUAUCACAGAUUCGGAACAAGCACCAGAGAAGCAUGGAUUGGUGACUUCAUUAUGCGCUACCUUGCCAUCAAUGUAGAUUAUACCGAGGCUAUAUGGAAGAAGCCAUGGUCUUGAAUAGGGUUGUAAUCAAAUUCAAUUCGUAAAAUGUUGUAGCUUACUUUAGAGUUUAAGAUUUAGGAUUUAUAUUAAAUCGAGUUCUGUAUUUUUGUUAGAACUCAAUUUAAGAAAAAUUGUAACAUCCCGAUUUUUGGGUUAGGGGUUUUUCAAAUUUAUAGGUCGAGAUAGUGGUUAGAUAGGACAAUUGAGUUUGUUGUUGUUGUGUUUUAAGGUUAAAAUGGGGCAACUGGUCUGGUGGUUGGUUAUGUGUUAAUAUAUCUCUAGAUCGGUGUUUAAAUCCUUAUGUGUGUAAUUUGGAGAAAUACUUUUAUAAAAUUUUUGAUUUGUUUUAAUUUUAAAAAAAUUAUUUAUUUUAAGUUUUAUUUUUAUUCUUUUUUUUUCACGUUCUCCCUCUCUCUCACUCCUCUGUUCCACCAUUUUUCUUUUAGGAAGGUUCCUUUUUCUUCGAAGUUGCGAUUUGUUUUUUCUUUCUUUUUUUUCGGUCGUGGAUUUCAAACUUUAGUUAUUCGUUCGUUACUGCUCUUCAAGUCGUUCUUGAUUCUUUGAAUAUUGUACUGGGUUUCCAAACGAGUUGGUGGAGUGAAUUGAGUGGUUCUCGGUGCUUGAAAUCGAAACAGGUGUGUGUUCGAAACUCUGUAAUUUCGACGUCAAGUUGCCAUUUGAAUCUGUGAAAUCUGACAAAUUCUAUGUGUUCUGAAAUCAUUCAAAAUCAGCAUAGAAUUGUGUGUUUCCGAACCCUUAGUAUUUACGGAUUACUUUGUGGUGGCUAGAGGUGUUCAUGGGUCGGGCUACCUGGCCCGGCCCAAAGGCCCGCCCGAAAUGUGGAAUGGUUUGGACAAAAAUAUAGGCCCAAAAAAUGGGCUUGGACAAAAAAAUAAGGCCCGUUUAAAAAAUGGGUCAGGCCUCGGGUAAGGUAUUUGUAGCCCAAGCCAGCCCGAAUUCACUAAAUGACAAAAAAAAUCUACAUUUUUUUUAAUUUUUAAAUGUUAUUUUCUUGUUGUUUUCUCCCUAUUUUGCUACCAUUUUAUUAUUAUGUUGCUACUAUUUUGUUGUUAUUGUUUGGAUAUUGUAUAAAACUUAUCUUAUUGUUAAUAAUCUUAUUAUUUUAAAGGCAUUUGUUAAUUUUUAUUAUUAUUCUAGAGGAAUUUGAUUGUUAUAGUGUUAUUUAAGUCUACAUAUUUUUUAAAAUUUAUUUUCAAUUUGUUUGGAAACAUUUAUUUUGAUGUUUUUAGUAUUUUUGAUGUAUUAUAUAUAUUUAAAAAUAAUAUAAAAAUAAUAUAAAAAAUUAAUACGGGCGAGCCAGGUCGGGCCUGGGUUUUAGUAUUUUUAUCCGGGUAAUGCUUGGACAAAAUUUUAGGCCCAUUUUUGGGCCCGGCCCGGCUGACCCAAACCAAAUAAAUGGGCAUGAUUAUUUAGUUGAGCCUGACCCGGACCCGGCUCGGCUUGUGUAGCGACGUAAAAAUUUUAGCUUAGCUUGGUCGCUAAUUGUGGCGAUUUAUUGAAAAAAAGUUUGAAAUUUGACGUUUGAUUUUUGAAAUAAAUAGGGAGUCGCCACCGAUCCUUUUUCCUAGGUGUGAUCGGACACCUAUUAGAUCUCUUAUUAAAACGAAUAAAAGGCUGAGUUUAGGUCUACGUUAAAAUCCAGAGAAAAUUUAGGGUUCGGGAGUCGGUUACGCGCGAGGAAGGUAUUAGCACCCUCGCGACGCCCAAAAUUGGUAUCUUAUUAAACACAUGUUGUCUUGAUUUUCAAAAAUACGAAUUCAAUUUGACAUUUAAGUGUGAUCCGAUUGAAUGAAAUGAGAAGUUGCAAGUUUUUUUGUUUUUUUAGAAGGACGUCCCGUUUUUAACACGAGCCGAUUAAUUUCACCCAACAUAGCGAUGAAAUCGAUGACUUAAUGUUAAAAUCGGUACAUUACCUUAUUCUUAAAAUUAAAAUGUAAAAAGUUUUUAAAAUGAUAGUAAAAAAAAUCCAAGAAUAUUAUUGUCAAAAAAAUGCGAAUAAUGAUGUGAAUAAUAAAAUAUAUAAAAUAUAAAAUAUUAAAAUAUCAAAAUAUUAGAAUAAUAAUAAUUAAUAUUGACAAAUAAAAAAUAAAAUAGAAAUAAAAAAAAUGUACAUAAUAUAUAUAUUAGAAAUAAUAAUGAUGUUUAAAAAAACAAUACUAUUAAUAAUACUACAUCAAUAUGUACAUAUAUAAAAAAAUAAAUACGUGAUCAUAUUAAAAAUAUGUACAUAAUAUAGUGUUAAAAAUACAUACAUAAUAUAGUUAAGAUAUAUACAUAAGAUAACAUGUAGAAAAAAAAAUAUAUAAAUAAUAUAAUAUUAAAGAUAUAUACAUAAAUAGUAUAAUAUAUAUACGUAAUAUAGAAUUUAAAAUAUACCUAAUAUAUUAAAAGAAUAUAUAUAAUAUAAUAUUAAGAAAUAUAAUAAUAACAAAAAAAAGGAGAGAGAGGGAGAGGGUGGGUGAUUUUCGGCCACAAGGCCGGCCAUCGUCCGGUCGCCAGACCGCCGCCGGCCCCACCGUACACGGCAGCCGGACCUCAAAAAAACUUUUUCGGUAAAAAUGGGUAAGCUUCCUCCUUUUAUUUUAUUUUUACUUUCGUAUAAAAGAAACAAAAUAAGAUUGAAAGGAAAACAAUAAGUAAACAAAGAACUUAAAAUGAGAAUAGAUAAAGAAACCUCUUUUGCUUUGAUCUUUGAUUAAUCUCCAAAAAAAAAACUAGCUUCUCCAAAAACUAGCCUUUACAAUAAUUCUUCUCCUUGAUUACUUUAAAAAGAAACCUCUCAAAAAAUCCUUUACAAUAACUUUCUCUCCCAAAAAAUCUCCAAAAAAAAUAUCCCCUCCCAUAUACAAAAUAUGAGAAGGCUUAUAUAGCCAUUUACAAAAUAUUUUUUUAUUGUUUAUGUCUUCAUUUGUAGGUACAAGUGGUGGUGGAGCAAGUGUGGUUAGUGGAGUAGGUAAUGGAGCAAGUGUGGCUAGUGGAGUUGGUGGUGGAAAAGGAGUGACUAGUGGAGUUGGUGGUGGAAAAGGUGUGGCUAGUUGAGAAAAGUUUAAGUUGUGGGCUAGGUUUUUUUAUUUUGAUUUGGGCUUAGGGUUUGGGUUUAAUUUUGGUGGGUUAGGUAAGGCUAAAUUGGGUUUUGAUGUAAAUGGGCUAAAAUUGGCCGACAACAGCUGCCCUUCUUUGCUUAUUAUCGUGUAACGAGAAUAGAGCAAAGAUAUAAAGAAAGGCCAAUUUUGCCCGGUCUUGCUAAGUAUGGACUUCUUUGGUGCUCUUCUCAUCCAGGUAGUCUCUUUCCAGUCCAUCGCAUCUUGUAGCUUUGGUUCAAUCCACUGCAAAUUCGAAGAUAUGCCUUGUAGCUUCAAUCUGUUCCAAUGUAAUUCAGUAUGCUCUUCUAUCGCUUCAGUGAGAUAAGGUUUUGGGUCUUCUCUUCUGCCACUUUAGAAAGGCAAGAUCUGAUAUCCUCGAUCAACUCCACUGCAACUUCAGGGAGACAAAAUCUGGUGUCUUCAAUCAGCUCUAAUAUUGAUUCUUUACUCGGCAUGUGAUCCUGAGCUCAACUCAUUUCUCGCAAUAUGAAUUGACUCUGUAAAACUAGACAUUAAAAACAGAAAUUGAAAAUAGCUCAGCACGUGAACCAAGGCUCAACUCACCUCUCGCAAAAGUAUAUUUUGAAAAUACCUCGACAUGUGAACCCAAGGCUCAACUCACAUCUCGCAAUAUGAGUUGAUUUUUGAAAAAUAUAAAUUGAAAAAACAGAAAUUGAAAAGCAGAAAUUAAAAAGACCUCAGCAUGUGAGCCGAGGCUCAACUCACCUCUCGCAAUAUGAGUUAAUUUUUGACAAACAGAAAUUGAAAUUACCUCAGCGUGUCCCGAGGCUCAACUCACCUUUCGCAAUAUGAGUUGAUUUUUGAAAAAAAGAAAUUUAAAAAUACCUCAGCGUGUCCUGAGGCUCAACUCACCUCUCGCAAUAUGAGUUGAUUUUUUUUUUACGAACAGAAAUUGAAGAACAGAAAUUGAAAAGACCUCAGCAUGUGAGCCGAGGCUCAACUCACCUCUCGCAAUAUGAGUUGAUUUUUGACAAACAGAAAUUAAAAGGCUUAACUCACUUCUCGCAACAUGAGUUGAUUUUUGAAACAACAAAAAUUAAGAAUACCUUAGCGUGACCUGAGGCUCAACUCACCUCUCGCAAUAUGAGCUGAUUUUGAAAAAGUAGAAAUUAAAAGGUUCAACCCACCUCUCGUAAUAUGAGUUGAUUCUUGACAAACAGAAAUUGAAAUUACCUCAGCGUGUCCUGAGGCUCAACUCACCUCUAGCAAUAUGAGUUGAUUUUGAAAAACAAAAAUUAAAAGUAUCUCAACGUGUCUUGAGGCUCAACUCAUCUCUCGCAAUAUGAGUUGAUUUUCCUUGAAAAGCAUGAAUUAAAAACAUCAAAAUACCCAAAACCUGUCCUUUGGUAGAACUCGGGUGUCUUUUCCUUUGAUUCAGUGCGACUCUCAUUCAAGAUUUCUUGCUCUGCUGGAGUACCUGUAUAUGCUAUGUAUGAUGUUAUCAUGAUAUGCACAUGUUUGUCUUAAAUGCUUUUAUGCCUACAUGAUUAUGCAGUGCUCCUUAAGCAUGUUUGUCGUAUGUCCAUUUAGCCACGAUUGUUGAGGAUCUGUGUUCAUUGCUUUGAUUCUCGACUUUCUCUUCAGGCCUUAUACCUGCCUUCAAGCUUCACGAAUAAUCGACGUUCCUCAGAUAUCACUCUUCUGCCCCCGAUUGAACUUUGUUCUUACUUUAAGACUCUUGUGCUUAUCAAAUUUUCAUCCAGGUAAUGCUUAACAUUUCUUUUGUUUAGAGUAUGUCAUUUCUCCAUUUAUCAUGUAAAUAAACACAUAAUGAGAUGCAUGAAAAAGGUCAGGUAGGGAAAAAAUGAUAUUUCAUAUUCAUCUAUUUCAAAUGUGGCAAAUAAAGCAAGUUAACCAAUAAGAGUAAAAAAUGUCAAAAAGAAAGAAAGGAUCGUAUUCAACGGAUACAAAUACUUUAGAUAUUCGACACAUGAACUCUUCUACGUUCCUCAAUCAUAAAUCUUUUCGAGUCUGGCUCUUUGCGUAGAAGAUUUCGAGCUUUCAGAAAUGCUUCAAAUAUUGUAGUCUCACUGUUUGACCCGCUGUUAAAACGCCACACUCUUUAAGCCAGGUUUACCUCAUUAGGACGCCCUCUCGGGUUUUCAUCCUAAUCUUUUGUGCUAAUCAAGACGCCCUUUGCGGGUUUUCGCCUUGAUCCCUCUUUUUUUUUGGAUGCCCUUUUCGGGUUUUCAUCUCAAGCAUAAUAUUUCUUCACAGCAUCUGAGUUCACUGGAUUCAGUAGCUCCUUGCCAUCCAUCUCGGUAAGGAUCAAAGCUCCUCCUGAAAAUGCCUUCUUUACGACGUAUGGUCCUUCCCAAUUUGGUGCCCAUUUUCCUCGCAGGUCCUUUUGUAUUGGGAGAAUCUUCCUCAGUACGAGUUCUCCUUCGUGGAAUUCUCUUGGCCAUACUUUCUUGUCAUGGGCCGCGAUCAUUCUCUUCUGGUACAUAUGCCCGUGACAAAUUGCUCUUAGACGUUUUUCUUCGAUGAGGUUCAACUGAUCAUAUCGAGCUCGAACCCAUUCUGCUUCUUCUAACUUUAAUUCCAUUAAGACUCGCAGGGAGGGGAUCUCAACCUCAAUAGGUAGCACAGCUUCCAUUCCGUAAGCCAGAGAGAAAGGAGUUGCUCCCGUAGAUGUUCGCACAGAUGUGCGAUAUGCAAACAAAGCAAAUGGAAGCUUCUCGUGCCAAUCUUUAUAUGUCUCAGUCAUUUUCCCAAUGAUCCUCUUAAUAUUUUUAUUGGCUGCUUCAACAGCCCCGUUCAUCUUUGGGCGAUAGGGCGAGGAGUUAUGAUGCUUUAUUUGGAACUGCUCGCACACUUCUUUCAUCAUCUUAUUAUUCAGAUUCGUGGCAUUAUCUGAAAUGAUUCUUUCAGGCAAACCAUACCGGCAAAUGAUUUCUUUUUUCAAAAACCUGCAAACUGCAGUCCUCGUCACAUUGGCAAAGGAAGCGGCUUCUAUCCAUUUUGUGAAGUAAUCGAUGACCACAAAAACGAAUCGAUGUCCAUUUGAUGCUUUUGGAGAAAUUGGCCCUAUGACAUCCAUGCCCCACAUAGAAAAAGGCCACGGAGAAGUCAUGACAUGAAGGGGUGAAGGGGCUACAUGAAUUUUAUCGCCAUAGAUUUGACAUUUGUGGCAUUUUCUGGCAAAAUUGAUGCAGUCAUUUUCCAUUGUCAGCCAAUAAUAACCGAGUCUCAUGAUCUUUCUGGCCAUAUUGAAACCAUUGUCAUGCGUUCCGUAAAUUCCCUCAUGGACCUCUUCAAGUAUUUUUCUGGCUUCAACAUCAUCCACACAUCUCAAAAGCAUCUGAUCCUUUCCUCUUUUAUACAGGAUAUCCCCAUCAAGAACAAAUCCCGCUGCCAUUCUUCUAAUUGUUCUUUUAUCGUUCUCAUUCGCUUGUUCGGGAUACCUUUGAUUCUUGAUAUAUUCUAAGAUAUCAUGGAACCAAGGCCGUCCGUCUACUUCUUUCUCAAUACUACAACAGUAUGCAGGGACCUCGUAUAUGCUCAUUUUGAGGGGCAUUAUUUCUGCUUCUCUACUUGCUUUGAACAUUGAAGCCAAAGUGGCCAGGGCAUCAGCCAGUUGGUUCUCUUCUCGUGGGAAGUAAUGAAAAGUUAUUUCUUUGAAUUCCUUGAUCAAUCCAGCCACUAAAUCGCUGUACUUAAUCAAUUUUGAGUCCCUCACUUCCCACUCUCUACGGAUUUGGUAAAUCACUAGGGCUGAGUCCCCGUACACCUCCAAGAUCUUGAUGUUUCGUUCGAUAGCUGCACGAAGCCCCAUGAUACAGGCCUCAUAUUCUGCGAUAUUAUUGGUACAGAAGAAGUUCAGUCUUGCGGUGAACGGAUAAUGAUUCCCAUCUGGUGAUACCAGGAUUGCUCCAAUUCCAUGCCCUAAAGCAUUUGACGCACCAUCAAAGCACAUAUUCCAUGACUUCUCUUUUGAUGACUCGGAUUCUAUUUCUGUGAUGCACAUUAAGUCUUCGUUUGGGAAAUCAAAUCUUAAAGGCUCAUAUUCCUCUGUCGUUCGAGUUGCUAAGAAGUCAGCUAUUGCGCUCCAUUUUAUCGACUUCUGACUUACAUAGGCAAUGUCAUAUUCCGAAAGAAAGAUCUGCCAUCGUGCCAUUCUUCCUGAUAGUGCCGGCGAUUCCAUCAUGUAUUUUAUUGGGUCCAGCUUUGAAAUUAGCCAUGUCGUAUGAUACAACAUAUAUUUCUGAGUCUCCGAGCUACCCAAACCAGAGCGCAACAAUAUUUCUCAAUGGACGAAUAUUUUGCCUCAUAUUCAGAGAACUUUUUGCUGAGGUAGUAGAUCGCUUUUUCUUUCUUUCCUGACUCGUCGUGUUGCCCCAGUACGCAACCCAUUGAACUUUCGAACACAGUCAAAUACAAUAUCAAUGGUCUUCCAGGAGUUGGCGGUACUAGCACUGGAGGACUGGACAAAUAUUGUUUUACCUUAUCAAAGGCCACCUGGCAUUCCUCGUUCCAUUCUCUCGGGUUAUAUUUUCGAAGAAGCCGAAAGAUUGGGUCGCAUUGGUUGGUAAGUUGAGCGAUAAAUCGGGCAAUGUAGUUUAAUCUCCCUAAAAAUCCUCUAACUUCCUUUUGCGUGCGCGGAGGUGGUAAUUCUUGGAUGGCUUUUAUUUUAUCUGGAUCAACUUCGAUACCUCUUUCACUGACAAUGAAGCCUAGCAACUUUCCCGAGGUAGCCCCAAAUGUACAUUUGGCUGGAUUAAGCUUUAGCUGAAACUUUCUCAGCCUUUCGAACAACUUCUUGAGGUUCACUACAUGCUCUUCUUCCCCUCGGGAUUUAGCAAUCAUGUCGUCGACGUAGACCUCUAUUUCUUUAUGCAUCAUGUCAUGGAAUAACGUUACCAUAGCCCUCUGAUAUGUUGCCCCAGCAUUCUUUAACCUGAAUGGUAUCAUCUUGUAGCAGAACGUUCCCCACAUUGUUAUGAAGGUAGUUUUCUCCAUAUCCUCAGGGGCCAUCUUGAUCUGAUUAUACCCCGAGAAUCUAUCCAUGAAAAAAAACAAUGAAUGUUUUGCUGUGUUGUCCACCAAUGUGUCAAUAUGUGGCAAGGGAAAAUUAUCUUUUGGGCUUGCUCGAUUCAGGUCACGGUAAUCCACGCACAUUCGUACUUUGCCAUCUUUCUUUGGUACCGGGGCUAUGUUAGCCACCCAUUCUGGAUAUUUGGAGGCUUGUAGGAAGCUAGCAUCAAAUUGCUUCUUGACUUCCUCUUUUAUUUUCAACAGCAUUUCGGGUCUCAUCCGUCUUAAUUUUUGCUGGAUGGGCUUGCAUUCUGGCUUUAAUGGGAGCUUAUGGACCACUAAAUCUUCAUCUAGCCCUGGCAUGUUCUGGUAUGACCAUGCGAAAACAUCUUUGUAUUCGCGGAGUAAAAUGAUCAAACUAUGUCUGGUACUCUCUGAAAUAGAAGUCCCAAUCUUCACUUCUUGUUUCCUAUCUUCAGUGCCCAAAUUUAUUGUUUCCACAGAUUCUUCAUGAGGCAAAAUCUGUUUAUCCUCUUGUUCCACCAUUCUUAACAAUUCAGGAGACGAGACAUAAUCUUCAGCAUUUUCUUCGGCUUCAAAUUCUCCUAAGCAAACAGCCUUCUCAAAAUCAAUUUCAAGAUUCGUAACGGGCUUAUUCAUGUCGUCAAUAUCUGAACACCUGAAAGUUGAAUGAAAAAGGAAGCUAUAGAGGGGCAUCCAAGUAUUGGAAUCAACAAAGAAAUGUCAUGUCAUGGCAAUGAGGCAAAUGUGAGUAUAGGCUAUGAAAUGAGAAAAUGAUUAUGAAAUUAGCGAUAAUGCGAAAAAAAAACGUGACAAAAUGCAUCUUUAUUGAUAUUCAUUUAAAUGAUAAAGAGCGAAUGCAAAAUCUUACAAAAGAAUUCUAUUAUAUCUAAGGACAUAACAGAAUGUUAACGUUUGAGCAUUACUCUGAAGACUUAUAAACUACAAGAAGAUCCUCGGCAGUCCAAUUGUUCAACAUGAAACCCGGGGGACAAGGGCGUAUCUUUGAGACGUCUUUACUCGCGUCAGCUCCUUUAUCAAUGACAUUUAUACUGAUAUUCUGAAAACCCUUUUCAAUUAACCAUAGCGUGUUUCGUGGACCAUCUUGUUCAGGGUACAUCAUUCCCGCAGAUGUAAAUGUUUUUGACAAAGGAGGGUACUCUAUUGGUUCCCAUUCUGGUUCUCGGCCCAAAGUUCUUGCAAUUCUUCUCUCUUGAUCUUUCUUCCACUGUCUUCUUCUUUGACGCAUGUCAGGCUGGAACCCUAAACCGUAUCGGACCCUGUGGUGCACUGGCUUUAAAGCCCUAACUAUUCCUUGCAGAUGUCUCCCUAAACCUCUUCUCGCACGAGCUCCCCUUCCUACGGUCAACUUGACACCCAUUCUGUUAUUUCUCGACAGUUUUGGCAUCGGAAUUCUGUUUCCCUCAGCGACGAAAGUGGCAUUGACGAAUUCAAUGGAUCGAAAGGAACAUUCCACUGCGUCCUUGCUUACUUCCAGGUAUGGCGCAUCAGCAGAGAUAGAUGCGACAAUGUCUUCUUCGCCCUCGACUGCGACCAAACAACCAUCCAUGAUAAAUUUUAACUGUUGAUGGAGGGAUGAUGGGACUGCUCCAGCAGAAUGGAUCCAAGGUCUUCCCAAAAGGCAGUUAUAAGAGGGUGUAAUGUCUAUGACUUGGAACUCGACAUCAUAAAUGUAAGGGCCCACUUCCAAAGGGAUUUCGAUCUUUCCCAUGACUUCGCGCCUCGUUCCGUCGAAUGCCCUUACCGUGGAAUGACAGGGCCUUAAGUAGGACAAAUCCAUCGGUAUUCUGGAAAGCGUGGCCAAUGGCAUAACAUUUAACACUGACCCAUUAUCGAUGAGUACGUUCGGUAUUAUGUAACCCUUGCAGCGAGUCGUGAUAUGUAGCGCUUUCACCGAGCCCCUACCAUUUGGCGGUAUCUCAUCAUCACUAAAAGAGAUGAAAUUGUCCGCAUUUAGAUUAUUUACCCACCUAUCAAGCUUUUCAACGGAUAUGUUGUUGGCCACAUAAGCUUGAUUUAACACCUUCAGUAAAGUAUUCCGGUGUGGCUCUGAAUUUAACAGUCGAGAUAAAACUGAGAUUCGUGCUGGCUGCUUACUCAAUUGUUCCACCACACUAUACUCGCUGUGCUUGAUAAAUUUCAAGAAUUCCUGAGCUUCUUCCUCAUUCACAGGCUUUUUGGUUUCUUGCACGAGUGGAAUUUCUUGCUCGACUUCGACUUCGUGCAUCACUGCUUUCCCUUUUUGCUUCCAAUCGCUAUUCUUUUUUACUGGUUCGACUUCUUUCGAAUAACAACGCCCACUGCGGGUAAAAUGACCUACUUCCCCAAUGUCUUCAGUUGUGGCUUCGGGCUUUUCCCCUUCAGGUGCGAUGAUAUUGACAUUGUACUUCUACGGUACUGCUUUAUUAUCCUUAUAAGAAAAAGGAGAUGGUACUUCGAUUAUCAUUUUUGAUUUCACCGGCUCCUUCUUCGCGUCAUAAUAAAUUAUUAACGGUCGGUCGGCGCUAUACAGGAAACCUGAUGAUUGAUUGUCAGAGGCACAUAUUUCUCCACUGUUGGCCUCUUUGGCUUUACAAAAAAUCCCAAUCUCCCUGUUAUCCAUCAUAUUUUGCAGUAAAUUUCUGAAUUCCUCGCAGGACUGAAUGUCGUGCCCUUCAAUGCCAUGGAACUCACAAAAACUGUGACCUUUUGCAUCUUUUCCUUCGGAUACUCCGUUAACACGACAGAGCAACCCUUUCUCACUUAGUGCCUCCCAGAUUCUCUGCAGAGGUGUUUUUACUUCAGAAACCCAUCUUCUACUUUGUCGUUUAUCCUCCUCUUCUACUGCGCUCACAUUCCCUUCGGUGUGGUUUGGGAAUGGAUUUCCGGUCGUACUGCCAGUACCAUCAAAUUGCAAAAUACCCGUAUCGAUGAGCCCUUGAACUCUCAUUUUGAAAGCAAGACAGUUCUCAGUAGAAUGCCCCUGGUUCCUCGCAUGGUAUGCACACCUAGCGUUUGGAUCGUACCAUUUCGGGUAUAGAGGUUUAAGGGGGGCCAUGUAAUGGGGGGAUAUUAACUGUUUCUCCAAAAUUUUUGGGUACAAUUCCCCAUACGACACAGGGAUGAGAGUAAACUGAGGUCUCUCAGGAUUAGGCCUUGCUGGUCUUGGUUCAUUUCUGGGUUGGCUUUGAGCGGGUAUCGUGUUUUGUGAGAAUGAGGUGAUGGGUCUUUGGUUGUUCGUGGAGUAAACGGGAUAAGAAAGAGGUGGUGCUUGGUAGUAAGGGUUUUGAGGGGGAUAAUAGAAAUUUGGAGGUGGAUAAUUUCUAGGUCGGGGUUGGUUCGGAUAUGGAUUAGAGGCAUAACGGCUUCCCAUUCCCACCAUGUAGGCUUCUGGUUCUUUCUUCUUCAUAGGUGCUGCCCUUUUUGAACCUUCUGAGCCUUCCAUUCUACCGCUCUUGACGGCAUUCUCUAUGAGCUCACCAGAUAUUACAAUAUCCGCAAACUCUUUCGUGGCACUUCCCACUAAUUUGUCAUAAAACGGCGCCUUUAAGGUGUUGAUAAAGAGAACGGUUAUCUCCGUUUUUAUUAGUGGGGGUUCCACUUGGGCCUAGACGUCUCUCUAUCUCUACGCAUACUGUCUGAAGGUCUCUGAUGGCUUUUUCUCCAUCAUUUGCAAGGUCAUCCGGUCUGGCACCAUGUCUGAUACAUGCUUGUACUGCUCGCAGAAUGCAGACGCCAAGUCCUUCCAGGAUCGAAUCUCUUCUCCACUAAGUUGGUUGUACCACCGAAGAGCUGACCCUGUUAGACUAUCUUGAAAGCAAUGUAUGAGUAGUUUAUCCUCGUUCUCAUAACCGGUCAUUUUUCGACAGAACAUAAUGAGAUGUGCUUUUGGGCACCUUGUCCUAUCAUACUUCUCAAAAUCAGGCACUUUGAACUUCGGAGGCAAAAUUAGAUCAGGUACCAAACUGAGUUCCUUGGCACCUAGUGCGGAGAAGACUUCAGUGCCUUCUAUUACUUUGAGUCUUUCCUCUAGACUCCUAUAAUUUGCGUCAUGGUUAUCCAAUUUCAACUUGGCUACCUCUGCUGGGUCAUCCAGAUCUGGAACUAGUGGAUCAGUAGGACUAGCCCCUGGGUUCGACGCGAAUAUUCAUUGCCCUAAAUUAGUGGGUGGAGCAGGUGGCAUAGGUCGAUGUUCCAAGCCUGUGGGUUCCCCUUGAGUAUACCCUUUUUGUGUUGUAUACGCGGGCGGUGGAGUAAAUCCUAGGGGAUAGAGUGGAUCCUGAUCGUGGUGAAUUCUUGACCGAGGUUCCAUAACAUCGGGGUUCUGCAUGGGUCCUUUUCCUUUGACCAAAGUUGUCAUCAUCUCCAUCAUUUUAGCAUCUGAUCUCUUUGCUCGAGUGAUUCCUCUCGAGAUCUCACCAUUAGGUCUCUCGUCUCUUGUUGCGAUUUGGCCAGUUGCUCUUGUAAAUCCUUUUGAGCCCUUUCCAUCUUUUCAAUUCUCUCAUUGAAUUCAGCUUCUAUUACUCUAGCUUGUCGGUGCAUUUUAUAGGAAUGGCGUGGUUCCAGAUUUGUGGUAUUACAACUGCGAAUUGUAUAUUUUAUCUUUCAGCAACCGAAUAUGGGAUAUGCAAUGUAUGAAUGAAUACAUGAAUGAAUGUAUGAAUGUCAAAAUGUUAGUUAUGAAUAAAUAUGCAAGAAUUUGGUGUUGAUUUCAAGAUAGCCCCAUAUUUAGACAUUUCAUUUAUCAAAUGAGUCUAUUACAAAAAGUUUCCAUUUUUCCAACAAUUACACAAAUUUUCUAGCCACAUUGCCUUGUUUCUUCACUUGAUCUAAGAACUCUGAUAUACUCGAUCUUUGGUUCGGAGGGAAUUGACAACUGAGAACUUCGGCUUCAUCUGAUAAUUGAACAACUUGCAUAGCCGCCCUACGAAUUUCAUUGAUCAAGAAGUCGAGUUGCAUUUCUUUUUCUUGGAGAGUUCCUUCAUACGCGUGAAUGUCCCUAUCGUACUGAUCAUUCUUUUCUUCUAGAGCCUUCAGGAGAUUAUCUAACUGUUGUUGAUGAGAUUGCAGUAUAUUUUCUAGAUCUCGUGCUUUCCUUUUUAAAUUUUGAUGUUCAGACUGACUAUUCACAAAUUCUACAGUCAUCAUUUCAUACUCAGCGUUCUUCCUUUUUAACUCUAUCGCAGCGCAUGCAGCUUUUUCCUCCUCUUUCUUUGCUUUUCCCUUCCAAAAUUCCAUUCCUCCUUUGAUAUUGCUAAUUUCUUCCUUCCAUUCUGCUGACGACUUACCCAACCCACUAUUCUUUAUAGUGUUUCUUAAUUUCUUGUUUUCCAAAUGAAGGUCCCUUAAGUCGUUUCUCACGAUCUCGGCUUCUCUUUGUGCUUUUUCAGUUCUGGAUAUUUCAACCUGAACUUCAAUCUUCAGUUGAUAGUUUUCUUCUUGAACGGCACUAAGGUCCCGAGACAUCUUGGCCUUUUCUCGUUUGAAUUCUUGUCUUGCCAUCUCCAGCUCAGACGACGUUUCCUCCGAGAAAGGAUUCUGGAUAGUGUAGUUUGUUGACGAGAUUUGCUGACUAUUUACCCGUUGCUUCCUCCAUAUGUCGUAAUCUUGGGUAAGGGUAUCAGCAUACAAGGCUAAUUCCAUGAAAUGAAUUUCCUUCCAAGACUUUGCAGUGUCUCGGACUCUCUUCAUAUAUCCUUCACCCGCAAAAGCGAACUCGAACUGUGCUAAUCCUCCAGUUGCGGGUAGGAAUUGUCGCGAAGAAAAUUACCUUUGGACUAAUAGCGGAGCAUAUCCAACUCCUCCCCAUAACCCGAGUAAAGGUACCCAAUCUUGGCUUCCACAUUUGUAUAGCAGAACUGAAGAAUGGAUCCAGGGUGCUCUCCAUGUUAUAUCCUCGGCGCGAAGAUUCUAAAAGACUGAUACCCAAUGUUGCUCGGUGACUUCCUUCGGCCAUUCUUUCUUCAGGUAAGCUUCUAGCGGGGCAAAUGUUUUUGAAAACAUAUGGAACGGAGUGUGCUCUACUUUCCAAAAAUGACUCAAAAUCCAAACAUUGAGCAACUGAGCACAUCCACUAAAUCGUCCCUUUCCAACCCUUCGACAAGUACUCAGGGACCUGAAGGUCUCGGCUAGGAUAGUCGGGACAGGGUUGACUCCUUAUUUUAACCUUUCGAAGAAAUCAACUACUGCAACUUUGAGAUGUCCGAGAACUUUUAGGAAAAUGACCAAACCAUAAAUGGCCAAAGCGAAUAGAUUUACCCUUUUCAGCAUGUUGGGAUGGUUCAGAACCAAAUCUCGUAGGGAGGACCAUGGAAUGCAAAUGGUUUCAUUCUUCUUCUUUAUCUGUUUUUCAGCCCAUGCAUCAGUCAUGUCUGUCAGUCUCACUAACUUUUUCUUGAAGGUCAUCGGCUUAGGCUCCUUCACAUAUAUUUUGCCGAAUUGUACAUUGUCGAUGCGGAGUAAAGCAGCAUACUCUUCUAUGGUUGGAGUCAUGUCUUCUUGAUUGAAGGUGAAACACUGAUAAGCUGGGUCCUAGAAUCGAACCAUUGCUUGAAUCAACUGUUCGUCUACACGGAUAGUGAUUAGGUGAGCUAUAUCUCCAUACCUCUCAGUAAAAAUGUCCCUAGUGUCUGAAUCCCACUGAUUCCAAAUUCGAACCAAAUCCUCAAGGUUAUUUUGGCGAACAUUUACAGUUAUAUGUUCGGGCAAAUUGGCAACACACCCUUCCACUAGACUAUCCCCCUUUUCUCUCUGAGUUUUUAGAGACCAGUCCCGAACCACGGUAUUCUUCUCGGUUAUUUGUGUAAUUGACUCCUCCAUCAGAAACCCAUUUUUUGGCAACCAACCUUUAAUCAACACCUUCCUAAUAUGAUGCCUAUGAUGCAUGAUGAAAAUAAAAAUAAAAGCAAACAAACUUGGUUAGUAAACACAACAAAUAUAAUUUGAAAAACAAAUUAAACUACCCAAUCCAAUUCUUUUGCAUAAACAGUGUAAAUGAAAGGCAAAAGGCAUUUUCCCCGUGUACUUAUUUUGGUGACUAUAAGCGGACAGAUGUUCGGCAUAGCUCUAAUUGGAUAGCUCGUAUGGUUCAUUAUAUGCAGUCUCGGUUCUAGACAGGUACUCGAAUUGCUCGUACUAUCAUCUGCUAAGAUUAGCAUGAAGCCUCGGUCAUAACCCAUCACAGGCUCACGAGUUCAAUUCGAGGGAUUACAUUUACUUAUGCCUAUGCGGAGGGACAAGUUAACUCACGAAAGCAUAAGUCAUAUGUAACCCGAAAGUAUUCACUAGCCUGUGCGGAGGGACGAGUUAACUCACGAAGGCGUAGCGUUUACUUUCACUUAAACGGACGGAGCCUGGGUAGAGAGCUCAUGUUAUGCGAAAAUGCAAGUGCACGGUGUGUGGGGAAAAACUUAUAAACCUUUACGUUUUACUUAAAGAAACUAAACCAAAAUUAAAACCAUAAAAAUUGCAUGAAUUAACCAUAAAACAACCAAAUAACAAGUUAGAAGAAAUAUUUACAACACGAUACAAAUGCAUGAAUUUUGAAAACGAGAUUUUCGGAUCACGACCAAAUAUUUACUUUGAACAAGGAAAUUUGAAAAUUUUGACAAAACGUGUUUAAUUCGACUCGAAACGCAAGUUCGUUCUCUGGCGGAGUCGCCAGCUGUAGCGACGUAAAAAUUUUAGCUUAGCUUGGUCGCUAAUUGUGGCGAUUUAUUGAAAAAAAGUUUGAAAUUUGACGUUUGAUUUUUGAAAUAAAUAGGGAGUCGCCACUGAUCCUUUUUCCUAGGUGUGAUCGGACACCUAUUAGAUCUCUUAUUAAAACGAAUAAAAGGCUGAGUUUAGGUCUACGUUAAAAUCCAGAGAAAAUUUAGGGUUCGGGAGUCGGUUACGCGCGAGGAAGGUAUUAGCACCCUCGCGACGCCCAAAAUUGGUAUCUUAUUAAACACAUGUUGUCUUGAUUUUCAAAAAUACGAAUUCAAUUUGACAUUUAAGUGUGAUCCGAUUGAAUGAAAUGAGAAGUUGCAAGUUUUUUUUGUUUUUUUAGAAGGACGUCCCGUUUUUAACACGAGCCGAUUAAUUUCACCCAACAUAGCGAUGAAAUCGAUGACUUAAUGUUAAAAUCGGUACAUUGCCUUAUUUUUAAAAUUAAAAUGUAAAAAGUUUUUAAAAUGAUAGUAAAAAAAAUCCAAGAAUAUUAUUGUCAAAAAAAUGCGAAUAAUGAUGUGAAUAAUAAAAUAUAUAAAAUAUAAAAUAUUAAAAUAUCAAAAUAUUAGAAUAAUAAUAAUUAAUAUUGACAAAUAAAAAAUAAAAUAGAAAUAAAAAAAUGUACAUAAUAUAUAUAUAUUAGAAAUAAUAAUGAUGUUUAAAAAAAACAAUACUAUUAAUAAUACUACAUCAAUAUGUACAUAUAUAAAAAAAUAAAUACGUGAUAAUAUUAAAAAUAUGUACAUAAUAUAGUGUUAAAAAUACAUACAUAAUAUAGUUAAGAUAUAUACAUAAGAUAACAUGUAGAAAAAAAAUAUAUAAAUAAUAUAAUAUUAAAGAUAUAUACAUAAAAUAGUAUAAUAUAUAUACGUAAUAUAGAAUUUAAAAUAUACCUAAUAUAUUAAAAGAAUAUAUAUAAUAUAAUAUUAAAAAAUAUAAUAAUAACAAAAAAAAGGAGAGAGAGGGAGAGGGUGGGUGAUUUUCGGCCACAAGGCCGGCCAUCGUCCGGUCGCCAGACCGCCGCCGGCGCCACCGUACACGGCAGCCGGACCUCAAAAAAACUUUUUCAGUAAAAAUGGGUAAGCUUCCUCCUUUUAUUUUAUUUUUACUUUCGUAUAAAAGAAACAAAAUAAGAUUGAAAGGAAAACAAUAAGUAAACAAAGAACUUAAAAUGAGAAUAGACAAAGAAACCUCUUUUGCUUUGAUCUUUGAUUAAUCUCCAAAAAAAAAAAACUAGCUUCUCCAAAAACUAGCCUUUACAAUAAUUCUUCUCCUUGAUUACUUUAAAAAGAAACCUCUCCAAAAAUCCUUUACAAUAACUUUCUCUCCCAAAAACUCUCCAAAAAAAAUAUCCCCUCCCAUAUACAAAAUAUGAGAAGGCUUAAAUAGCCAUUUACAAAAUAUUUUUUUUAUUGUUUAUGUUUUCAUUUGUAGGUACAAGUGGUGGUGGAGCAAGUGUGGUUAGUGGAGUAGGUAAUGGAGCAAGUGUGGCUAGUGGAGUUGGUGGUGGAAAAGGAGUGGCUAGUGGAGUUGGUGGUGGAAAAGGUGUGGCUAGUUGAGAAAAGUUUAAGUUGUGGGCUAGGUUUUUUUAUUUUGAUUUGGGCUUAGGGUUUGGGUUUAAUUUUGGUGGGUUAGGUAAGGCUAAAUUGGGUUUUGAUGUAAAUGGGCUAAAAUUGGCCUACAACAGCUUGGACUAUGAACACCUCUAGUGGUGGCUAAAUCACGUUUUUUUUGGCUAUUUUAGGGUGGUUUUGUGACCACACGAGUGGCCAUACGGGCUUGUGCCCCACAUGGGUGGUUCACACGGUCGUGUGCUUUUGGAAAUUAGGGUUUUCAGCCAAUUUGAUGUCACACAGCCGUGUGGCUAAUUUUGGGGAUUUUAGUUUUUUUUCACACGGGCGUAUGAGACUUCCACACGACCGUGUCUGCCCUGCACCAUAUUUUGAUACUUUUGGACAGAGAGUUACACGGCCUGAUCACACAGCCAUGUUCUUUGUCACACGGGUGUGUGCCUUGAUCACACGACCAUGUGCCUCCCUUCACACGGGCGUGUGCCUCAUUCAUAUGGGCGUGUUGACCCCACACGGUAGUGUGGUCCUGUUUCGAAAAUUUUUGCUUUGUAGUAUAACUUAAUCUGUUCUAUUUCUUGUGCCGUCCAACGGUUAUUAGGGCCUCCACAUAAGUAUUAGGGAUUCCUAUACGACUUAGAGUUGUGUGAUUAUUUGUAAAUGUAGUGUUAAACUUUCGAAUUGUUCAAGCGUGUUUGUAAUGUGCUUGUGAAUUGAAACCUUGUCCGAUGAUAGGACCUGAGGUAAUUUGAUAUUGAGCUUGUGUAUGUGUAAGAGCAUUUCUAAUUCGGUAUUCUGUUUCUGUAUGUCUGAUUCCAAAUUUUGUGCAUUUUGCAAUCACAUGGAAAUUCUGUAAAUAACCGUUUGAAUAUGAGUUCUGUAUCUGUGAGACUGAUGAUGUUUGAUGUACAUUCAUUCAUGUGCAUAAAAUUGGGGUUUCGUUGUGAAGAGAAUGAAGUCUGAUCUGAUUUGGUAGUGCAACUGCAACACGUCUGUAUAGCAAUUUACCGCAUAGUACGAUACAUAUAGCAGCUCAACUGCGUACUAUUAUUUACGUGGCUUAGUUCCACAUUUGUAGUGUGUAAGGUUGGAUAGGCCUUUUGAGAUCCUAUAUGGUGUGUAUGGUUGGUUGGGCUUUCUAUAGCUCAUUCGUAGUGUGAUUGGGGGACGGAGUGGUGUUCGGUUGGUGGGUUGGGUUGUCUUUAAUCUAUUUUACAUCAUUACAUACUUCUGGUUAUGCAAGCAUCUGUUUGUCUAAAAGAUACAUUUACAAUGAUAUGAUGUGCUUUGAUUGUUAGUUAUGAUUGGGACAUUGAUUCCAUGUGUACAUUCUGGUUUGUAGUCGUGUUGUAAGUACGUUUCGCUAUUGAACUAUUAUCAAAAACUUUUUUUGUAACUUUGUCGCUUGUUACGUAUCGAACUCACACUGAGCACGUGUAGCUCACCCUUUAGUUUCCUCCCUUUCAGAUACUCUCGCAAUUUGAAGCUGGAUUCAGCUUACCGAAGGUCUCAAUGUGACAUUUUUUAAAAUGAGCAAAUUAGUUCCUUUCUUAUUUCUUAUUUUGUUAAGUCGUUUUUUUAUUGUAAACAAUUAUCAAAAUUGUGGUAUAAGUUUUGUUUUGGGUUUUUUGUAAAUUUUAUUUUGGACUGUGUUUCAGAGACUCUAGAUUUGUGUUCUCGAGAUUUUAAACAUAACCUAAAUUAUUCGAUAAAAAUUUUAAAUGAUUAAACGUUUUUGUUCGAAUUUGGCAAAGUGUGUUUGUAACUUGGAUAAAACGUUUUGUAAAAUUUUUCUUCGAUCACUUCGGUGACCAAUGUGACCUCCAAAAACCGAUCAAAACUUCUAGGCCGGAUUUUGGGGCGUUACAAAAAUUCAAACUUUUUAAAUUAAAAUAUACUAAAACAUUGACUAAAAUAAAACUUAAACUACUUUAUAAAUAUGCAUUCUUGAUUUAAUCCACUUCAUAUUUAGUAGCUCUUUGAAAAUUGAUGCACUCGAGAAGGGUUCUCUCACAUAUAUUUUUAAAGAUUACAAUAUGUUAUUAGUCCCUAUAUUUAUUUAGAACUUGAGAUUUAAUUUUUAUACUUUAAAAUCACAAAGACUAACAACAUAUUUUAGCCAUUUCUAGACUAUCUAGAUCCUUUGGUCAAGUUCAAAGCAAGAAAUGAUCACAUUCCCCGUUUUCAAAUCCUGCCAUACACCUAAGCCUUAACCAAAAAAGUAUUAGUCAAAUGGUGAUAUUAUUGGAAGGGAUGAUUAUAAAUAUCUAAAAAAUAAUAUUUAUAAAUUGUAAAAUAGAUAUGGAAAAUACAUUGAAGGGACUGGAAAACCAAUUAAGAAGAAUCAUGUCGAUAGAUUUAAGAAUUGAUUUAUAUGUGAUGUUAUGAUAGUUUACAAUCCAAUAAAUUAGAAGAUGAUAAAUUAUUAAGGCUUUACUUGGUAGAGUGGAAAGAAAAUUAAAAAUUAAAAAUUAAAAAUUGAAGGGGUAGAAAACUAGAAAAAUGAAAAACAUAUUUUUGUUUCCUUGUAAGUAUGCUUAGUAAAAAUGAUGAAAAAAAGGAAACGAAAAAUAAUUUUCUUUUCAUCCAUUUCGUGGUAGAAUUGAAAAAAUGAAAAGAAAGAAAAUAAAACAUUUGAAAAUGUAUAAUUUUAAAAAAAUAAAAAUAAAGGAGAGACUAUUAAAAUAUUUAGGAUAUCAUACUUUUGAAGUUGUGAACUCUCUUAAUUUACUUUAGAAAUUGUAAUGAUCUACAUUGUAUGUACCUUUUAACUUAUCAUUAUCAUUAUUAUUGCUCAAGGGUAGUCUUUGUGCACGUUUAUUGUGUUUUGGGUGUUUACUUGAGGACAAGUUGUGGGGAGAUUUGAUAUGUCAUAAAUUGAUAUAGUCACUUUAAGUCCUUUUUGACACUUAAAAAGAGCUUCUAUUUAAGCAUUUUUAUGGUUUUAUUUUGUGAUUUUCAAUAUUUAUUAGACUUUUAUCUUAAUAGUUAGUUUUGUGUGUUUUUAGUGUGUGGCAAAAUAUUGCCUUUUAGGGUCUAACGAUUAAUUUAGCUUGUGUAGGAGGUGACUAAGGCCAAAACAUAAAGAAACCUUGAUAAUGUCCUGGAGAUCGCGACACUAGACCCUUGGUGUCGUGACACUAAAGUUGUCUAUCACCUUGGGAGUUGAAUUUCAAGAGCUAAUACAUUGUAGGUGAACUGGUGACAAAGUUGCAACACUAAGAGCAUGGAGUCACAACAUCAAGUGUUAAAGGUCACAACAUUGUGCUUUUGAAGUCAUGACAUCAACAACAAUCACUAUUGCUGAGGGAUCCCAACUAUUCAAGGAGCCAAAGUUGCAACAUCAGGACCAAAGUCGUGACAUCGACGUUGCCAAGCGGAUUUGGGAGUAUAUUGUUGGCAAGGUCGUGACACAAAUAUCUUGGUGUUGCAACAUCAAGGUUCAACGACUAAAAUCUGCAAUGGUUUUUUGAUUUUUCGUAAUUGGAUAUGUCAAAUUAGACUUCCUGUUACAUUUAAUGAGUUUAUUCUCAAGCAAUUUAAUUAUCUUUUCUAUGUUUUUGUUUAGUCUAGUUUUCUUCGAUUUAAUUAGUGUUUAGUGUGUUUUAUGUCAUUUUUGAGACUCGAAAUGACCAAUUGGCAUUUAGGGUAUCUAAUGAGGUUAGUGGAUGAUGUAGGAAGCUCUCAGUGACCCAAAUGAAGCAAGAACAUCAUCAAGAAUGGGGUAUCGCAAUAUCAAAGUCUGAAAGUAGUGAUACCUUUGACAGUGCUAAAAUAAGGAAGCUUGAGCCACCAACAGUCGUGUCGCCAGUCCGUGUGCCUCACAAGACUGUAUGACAUCCCGUGUGAACCCAAAAUUUACCUAAAAAUCAAGCCAUUUCAUAUCCUAACCAUGCAUAAACAUUCAAUCCAAUUGUGCACACUUUCAAGGGACCUAAACACCAUCCAAACAUACAUAAAGUUACCAUUUCAAAUGCCCUAAAUCAAUUAACCAAUAUGCCAUUCAAAGGCACCACAAGUAUAGCUAAACAACACUUACUUAAACAUGUCAAAAUUGUCACGUUUCAUGUAUACAAACCUAAUCCAAAUAGGUACUAAACAUGUCACAAUAGGUCAUUCUCAAGACAACAUCAACAUGCCAAAUAGGACCGUAAUAACAAGCAUAUUAAAGUGCCCAAAAUAAUAUAGUUUUCAAAAGCUUAUACAUGUUAAAUAACAUCAACACUUUUACCAAAACACCAUUACAAUCCACCCUAUACAUGCCAUUAUAAAUCCUGGCCAAACUAUUCAAAAUCUACCAAAUAGAUUGUUGGAUAAUGUGAUAGGACUCCAACAAGCUUCCAACCAAGUCGAACUUCCAAUAAUCUAUAAAACAAAGAAAAGAAAUUACGUAAGCAACGAGGGUUUGGUAACCUCGUAGAAACCUUAAACAUUACCUACCAUUUCUAAUACAAUUCAUAGAAUAAGUAUAAACCAAAACCAAUGCCAUAAGCUUAGUAUAAGCCUAUACAACAUCAUUAAACUCACAAGUUAGUAUAGUUGUUCAUUAUAUAUAUGAAGUCAACCAUAAGAUAUGUGAUUUACCAUGUAUAAACAUAACAUUUUUGCAUCAUCAAUGUUACGAUAAUAUCAUAAUUCAUUGCAUUUGCAUACUUACCAUUUCCUUUUCCUUUUCUUACUCGUUGAACCAUUUAGAAUUACAUUGGAUACUUGGGAGAGCUCACAAGAAGUGUGCCUUUACAUAUAAUCGUAAUUUUUCUUUUAUAUCAUUGCUCACAUGAGCUGUGAAAUAGGCCUGCUUACAUGAGUUGUGGGUCGGAAUGUAAGCUACACGAUGUUGCUCACACAAAUUGUGGACAAUCCGCAACAAAUGCAAGACCUCAGCCAUCGGUAGGACAUUCGAGACCAGCACCCGAAACAUGAAAUCCCUGAUGACAUGUCAUUUGUAUCCUAAGAAUUCUUAAGGUUUAAUUAGGACUCAGUUUCCAUCAAUUCAUCAUAGCAUUGAUAUAUUUUUAUACUGAUUCAUUUACUUCAUAACAACAUAAUAAACAUUCGAUUUAAACAAUAGUUAAGCUAUUUAAACAAUAAACAGUUCAUACGAGCUUACCUUGAUAAUUAGGGCAUAGAUUUGUUUUAUCUAGGAUGUUACCGUACGGUCUUUUGAUAUAUAUAUAUAUUUAAAUAUUGGGUUGGGAUUGUUGCUUUUAAUUUAUUCUCCUUAUUACGAUUUGAUGAGAGGGGUAUGAAAUUAGAAAGGCUUGGUUUUUAUUUUAUUUUAUUUUUCUCACGCCAAAAUCUUCCGUUUCGUUGACUUUGUUUCUAUGCGGUACCUUCUUCAUCUCCUACAUCCAUACAUACAUAAUCGGAUCCAAUUCCAAUCCCAGUUCCUCGGCAGGUAUAUGCAGCUAUGUUUAUCAUGUGUCUGCUAUAUAUAAUAUUUCUUCACAAUUUCUUUUUCCUUCUGCUAGCUGAAAGUAUAUUUUGCUAUAUACAUACUCCUCAAUUGAUUUUAGAAUAUUGGUGUUUUCAUGGAGAAAUACAUAGCUAAUCAAGUUUUAGUUGCUUAUCUGCUUGCUAGGCAUACAUAGAUGGUUCAAAUUAUAUGUGUCACAUCAUCACCUAAUUAAUUUUUUCUAAGUAUGCAAUCCUUUCGGUACCCAGAAAUUUGAGAUAGUUAUAAUAGAUUUUUUUUUAAAAUCUUAUUUGUCAUGUUAUUACAGUUUAAGGUUGAUUCUGGAGCUUUUCAGUCUGGUCAUCGUUUACGGUUCCAUCGGCGGUGCGGUUGGUGGCAACAGCCACUUCAAUUCGAUAAUGCUCCUCACCAGCUUCAUCCAUUUUCCCAUAAACUUUCACUUCAUCACCGACUGCUAGAUUCCACCACUGCACGAAUAGAAGCCAUCCACUAGUGAGAACUGGCUUCGGAUAGUCUUUCUUCCUUGUAGAACAAUUAAAAGCCCAGUCUUUGCCAUGCUUGUCCUUCACCUUAAACUCCACCAUAUGCUUGCCACGGAAAUUCAAGAAACAUUUUUUCUUCCUAGAUGGAAUAGGAUCUUCUCAACAUCCGUUUUGGUUAGUCUUUUUUUUUGAAUAGCGCUUUUUCUAUUGCCAUUGUUCAAGGCAAAGUGAGUUGAAGAGGUUAAAGGGUUUUAGUGUUACACAGAGAAACAAUGAAAAUGGCUUGAUAUAAACAAGGGAUUGGAUUCACUGUUUCAUUUUAAUGUCGCGCGAUUAGCAGAAUCGUUCAAUUAUCAGCAUGUAUGUCUCGAGGUUUGUCGUCGUCUUCAUAUUUCGGAUUUUGAAGUAGCAAAGCAUGUAUACACUGAUGACAGUGAUAUGGAGCGUGAAGAAAUAUAGCAUAUAAUGAAAAGCCAUUGGUAUAAUCACACCUUUAUAAUUGGUGAAAGAUUAAUUUAGAAGGAAAAAAAAACAAGUGAAGAAUAUAUAUUUGAUGAAAGUUUUUUUUGAUUUUUUUAAUAAUACAGAAAUUAAAUUAAUUUAUUUAAUAAUAACGGGAUUAAUUUGACGAAGUCAAUAUAAAAAAAACAACCUCUUAAGUACGUUCACCUAAAGUAAUCUAAUAUAAUAUGAUGGAAAGCCUAAAAAAGAAAAAAAGAAAGAAAGAAAGGCAGCGAUGGUGGUCGAUAAUCUUUCGAUGCGCGCGUUCAUGUGAGUCAAAAAUGAAACAUUGAAUCUGGUUUCUGAUUGGAUCCCUAAACGAAAGGCAAACCUAUUUUAAUACUAUUUUUUAUCUAUAAAAAUUCAGAAUUUAAAAUUUUUUUAAGGGAUAUCCGCUUCUUUAUUCAUUUUUCAAUAAAAUUGAUGAUAUGAAAUAAAAAAAUAAUUAUUUUUUAAUAUCUUUUAAAUCUAUUUUAUAACUUAUAUUCAUAAUUUAUGAUUGAUUUAAUCAUAAGAGUUAACUAAGACGUUAAAUAAUUGAGAAUUCGAUACUCGUUUUGGAUAUGAAAUAAUUUUAAAACUUAUGAUAAUUCAUACCCUUAAAAGAGCCAUAACACAGUACGAAUAAUUAAUUACCGAAUUAUCUUUCGAUUGAUUAAGACAACGAAUUUUUCUUGGGUCAUACGACAGAUAUCUCCCGAAAUACUGGGAAACGACUGGAACUUCUAUGAAAUUUCUGCAGCUAACCGUGUUGACUGGUGGAUCAACUCAGUGGGUUAACAAAUCGAAAUAUUCCCUCUAUAAAAGAAGCUUUUGGUCUACAGUUGAGUUUUAAGUUGGAUUAAGCCCUCUCAUAAAGUCAACUAGGAACAACUACUCACUGAGCUAACUAUGCUGUUCAAUUAAACUGCAGGUAAAGAAUGAGGAAUCAAGUUCAUCCUCUCUCGCAAAUGCUCGACUCCAUCCUCAACCAGACGUUAACCUUAGCCUGCAACUGUGAACGCAAAACCCUCUUUUGCCGAUUAUUCUUCACCACCAAUGAGCCCACCAUUUACCACUCUCUCUACCAUAUUUUGAACCUUUUAAUCCCCCACAUGAACUGGCUUUUCAUCAUCUACGACCGAGAUUUUAGUACAGCCGUGGAUGAAAUCUUUCUGUGGCUGCUCCAAAUCCUUUGCAACGAUUCGUCUAUUUCUUCGGCUUGGUCUUUCAUGGUUACUGAUAAUAAGAUUUGGGAACCUGAGUCGGUGAUUAUGAAUGGAAGUAUAAUAAAUGUUGAUCUUCAAUGCAUGUCAUUAGCCGACGUUGAAGAGCUGUUGCGGGUGAUUAAUGAAUCAGAGCACCCUAUUCUGCAAGUUCUUAACUUCAAAUCAAUUGGUUCCUUAGCCGAAAUCUCUAAUGGAAGACGAAACCAUGAUGUAUCACAGAUUGGGAACAAGCACCAAAGAAGCAUGGAUUGGCGCUUCGUUAUGCGCUACCUUGCCAUCAAUGUAGAUUAUACUGAGGCUAUAUGGAAGAAACCAUGGUCUUGAAUAGGGUUGUAAUCAAAUUCAAAUCGUUAAAUGUUGUAGGAGUUUAGGAUUUAG
rnacentral:lncRNA from 1 species